rnacentral:tRNA from 1 species
UGUUUUCAUAGUUUAAGCAAAAACAUUACGUUGAAAAUGUAAAAAUAUUUAUUUUUUUGAAAACAG